rnacentral:misc_RNA from 1 species
GUUCCGAUCAAAAUUUGGGUGAAAUUCUGAAAAGGGUGAUUAAAGGCACCAAGUUGUUGUUGGAUUAGAUAAUUGUGGUGGCCAUGAGUAUUAGGAAGGCAAUUGGUGCAGUGAAAGAUCAAACUAGUAUAAGCCUAGCUAAAGUGACCGGCAAUGUUGCGCCGGACCUUGAAGUAUUGGUGGUGAAAGCAACCACUCAUGAUAAUGAUCCAGCAGAUGAGAAAUAUAUUAGGGAGAUUUUGCACUUGACCUCUAAUUCUCGAGGGUAUGUUAGUGCUUUUGUUUUUGCAGUGUCAAAGAGGUUAAGCAAAACCCAUGAUUGGGUUGUGGCGUUGAAGGCCUUAGUGCUUGUGCAUAGGCUAUUAACUGAUGGAGACCCUGUAAUUGGUCAAGAGAUCAUGUAUGCAAGUCGGAAAGGGAUGAGGGUUUUGAAUAUGUCUGGUUUUCGUGAUGAAGCACACUCUAAUUCCUGGGAUCAUUCUGGAUUUGUUAGGACUUAUGCCAUUUAUUUAGAUCAGAAGCUUGAAUUUUCUACUUAUGGUAGGAAGUUGAAUGACGUUGAUGGUUAUGGUCAGUAUCGGUCCGAGGGAAAUGGGAUGGAUAGGAGAAAGAGGUUCUCUAAUGAGCCUGAUGAGUCUGCUGGAAGGGAAGAGAAAAGUGGCGCGACGCCAGUCAGAGAAAUGAAGCCUGAGAAGGUUUUAGAGAGGUUGAAUCAAUUGCUUCAGCUUCUUGAUAGGUUCUUGGCUUGUAGACCGACUGGUGCAGCCAAGAAUAGUAGGAUGGUGCUGGCGACAUUAUAUUCUCUUGUGAAUGAGAGCUUCAAGCUUUAUGCUGAUAUUUGUGAGGUAUUACAGAUUUUGUUGGAUCGAUUCGCAGAGAUGGAGUAUGCUGAUUGUGUCAAGACUUUUGAUGCUUAUGUUAGUGCAGCAAAGAUGAUCGAUGAGCUUGUGGGCACUUACAAUUGGUGCAAGGAUGUUGGGAUUGC